rnacentral:lncRNA from 10 species
GGGUUGUGUUGGCUCAGUCAGCUUGUUGCUGGAGCCAGAUGUCAGCUCAGAUUUUAAGUCUUUAAAUACUGCAUGUCUCUUUCCUGGUGAAAGCUUUUCUGUUUUCCGACUGUGUACCUACUGUUGAAGUUUGUUUUGUGCUUGAAUCUUCUUUUUUGUUACCUCCUGCUGAGUGAUCCCAGUUGUAUCUUUUGGUACAGGCUGAGCCUCACCAUUAGCAGGGGCUCUGGUCCUGAUGGGUCAGCAGCGCGGAGCUGGAUGCAUUGUGGCCCAGGACAGGGAGACCAUUUCCUGGGUGCCGUCCCUUUGUGAGGGGUGAACAUGAGAGUGACCCUAGAAAGACAGGCCUGAGAUUUGAGAUUAGAUGCCAGCUGUUUUCAGCCAUUACUGGGAAAGUCGGCUGCCUGGCACCAGAGACUGGAGAGUUGAGAUCCUCAUUGUCACUCCACCCUUUUUUAACGCAUGCAUCAUUAGCCUCAAGAAGAAUACUAUAUUCACAUUGCCUUAGGAUCAAGCCUCUUUCAUAGGAGGGAAGGACCAAUUAAAAAGUAAUGGCAACCUGUUCUACAACCCUAGCCUUUCCAACGGAGCUUCUCAGAGGAGUAGGCAACACCACCUCUGUGUUCCUUUUGUCCCCAACACUCUACUGAACCAUUUUUACAAAGGUCAUUUUUGGCCUCUUUGUUGCCAAAUUCAAUGGUUUUCAUUCUUUAUGUCACUUUAUCUCUGUAGCAUUUGACUAUAUUGACAAGUCAAAUGUUCUUCUUGAAGUUAUUUUCUUGGCUCUGUGUAACGAUCCUUCUUUCCUUCUCUUCCUGCCUCUCAGGAUAAUCAUUUUCAGUCUCCUGAGACUCCUCUUCCUCCUCUCAGAGCAUACACACCUACUGUUACAGCUCCUCUGUGCGGAUCCUCCCUCCAGCACACAUCUGUCUGCCUAACUCCCCUCCCGCCAGCCCUUCCUCCCUUUCCCAUAUCUGACCAAUAUGUAUGCAACUCCCUGCUAAGUAUCUCCAUACAAAACUCAAAGCACCUCCAACUCAUAACAUCUAAAACGAAACCCAUCAUCUCAUUCCAUCAGCCCCAAAGCUUGUGAUAACUCUUAUAGUCCCUAUCUCAUUAAUUAUUAUUUCCCUGGCUACCCAAGUCAGAGACCUGUGUACCAUCUUGACCUCAUCAACCCUGUGUGCCCACCCCCCAGAUAACCGACUCCAUCUCAUUGCCCUCCCUCCCAAUUGUUCAUCUAGUUUAUAGGAACAGCCUCCUAACCGGACUUCCAUUCUCCAGUCAUGCCUUCCUUCAGUCCAUUCUCUACAAUACAGAAUGGGGUCAUCUUUCUAAAGAUAUUUUUUUAAUUUUGCUUCAAAAGUGAAACUGGGCUGGACGCAGUGGCUCACACUUGUAAUCCCAGCACUUUGGGAGGCCUAGGUAGGAGGAUCACUUGAACCCAGGAGUUCGAGACCAGCCUGGGCACAUAGUGAGACCUUGUCUCUACAAAAAAUAAAUUAGCCAGGCCUGGUAGUGUGUGCCUGUGGUCCCAGCUACUCAGGAGUGUGAGCAGGGAGGAUCGCCUGAGCCCAGGAGGUUGAGCUGUGUUCUCGCCACUGCACUCUAGCCUGGGCAACAUAGCGAGACCCUGUCUCAAAAAAGAAAAAAAAAAGGUGAAACUUCCUCUGAAAUGCUUGUGAUAAAUGCAAACUUUUAAUGUGACAUAAAAGACUUUUGUGGUCUGGCAGCUGCUUGCCUUUGCUUCGUCAUGUUUCCCUCUGAUUUGCUGCCCUGCCAGUACACACAUGCUCACUCUCAUCCUCCAGCCAUGCGGAGUAGCUGGACCUGCCCCACUGUCUGACUUGCUCCUGCCUCCUAGCCUGUGUGUCUGCUGCUCCAUUUACCCAAAAUUCCCCUCCUCCCCACAUCCACCCCACCCCUCCUCCCUGGCUGGCUCCAGCUUCAUCACCAGGAUUCAGGUUCCUUGUCACUAAUCAGGAAACGUUCGAUGAACUGGUACUAUGCUCCAAGCACUAUGAUGCAUGUUAAGCAUUCAAAGAGAAGGUGUUUUUCUCCAGGCAGCUUUUCCUGUGUCUUCCAGACACAAGUUCUCUGCUCAGUAUUCUCAUGUGUGGCUUACACUAACCACAUGGUGUUGUCAUUGUUAAUAUAUAUGUUUGUAGAAAGUCAAAAAGUACUUCACAACCAAAGAAGGAGAUAGAGUACUCAAUAUAGAACAGUCUACAAACUCAUGAAUUAUCUAACGUUUACUUCAGCUUAAUUCACUCAGCUAUGGGACUUCUGUUGCCAAGGGCCUUCAUUACUAGCCACUAGUUAUAGCUGAUGUGCAGAUACAGUUCCCAAAGUCUCUACACUGAUUCAUGGUAGCCGGCCACAUUUUGUCAACAUGUUUAGGACCUUGAGGCUAUGUUGAAAGCAUGAGAAACACUUAAAACACAUACAUUGGAAUUGGGUGUAAGCAGAAUCACUUAGAAAAUCAGUCAUUGUUAAACAGUUGCUAAACUGAAAUAACCUAUACUUCUUAAAUACAUUUCAUAUUCACACAAACCACAGAAUUUUGUGAAAUUUGAUGAAUUUUAGAAAAUUUGCAGUAAGGCAAAAAAAAAAAAAGCUUAAUACUAAGACUGAAAGUGUCCUGUGGACAAGAUUAAAUAUUUUUCACCUAAACCCUCAGAUUAGGAAUUAAUCGGUUCACCACACACACGAAUUGGUGACUCCCUCCCUGAUGUUUAUAUUAGGCAUGACCUGGGCAGUAAAACACAUUCAAGCAGUUUAUGGGUCCACAUUCCUUAGGGGAUAAAAUGUCAGGAGCACAUGAUUGUUGGUGCAGCGUUUCCUAGUUCUUCACUGAUCCGUUGUCCUAACACUGAUAAACAACUUUAACAUUUUGGUAGAUUUCUUUCUAAUCAUUUUUCUAUCGAUAGAAAAAAAAGAUGGAGAUAUAUUUUACAAAGUAAGUUUGUGAACUUCAUUUUGGAUUGAACAUAUUUUCGAUUCCUCUCUUUUCCUGUUACACUUAACAUUUUUUGUUUUGUUUUGUUUAUGAAACAGGGUCUCACUCUAUCACCCAGGCUGGAGUGCAGUGGGCAAGAACACGACUCAUUGUGGCCACGACCUCUCGUGCUCAAGCAAUCCUCCCACCCCAGCCUCCCAGGUAGCUGUGACUACACGUGUGCACCACUACACCCAGCUAAUUUUUUAAUUUUUUGUAGAGACGGGGCCUUGCCAUGUUGCCCAGGCUGGACCUAAGUUUAAUUAAAAGGACGACAGCAAGACAAAAGCAAAAUGAUAGAUGUAGUUAAUAUGCAGAUUAAAUAAGCCGCAUGUGCACGAACCCUACUGCAACCCAUCAAGACAGAAAAUGAGCUGUCAAGUUACAUUUGUAGACUGAAGCGUUUGCUCACAGAAAAACUGACGAAUGAUGAAGAACUAGGAAACGCUGCACCAACAAUCAUGUGUUCCUGACAUUUUAUUCCAUAAGGAAUUUGGACCCAUAAACUACAAUUUCUUGUUCCCUUUCAUGGGAAUCUGUGCUGUGAGUGAACUCUGGCUUUGGAGGUUAAUGGAGAUUCAAGGUGCCAACCUACAUUGGGUGAGAUGCCAAGACCCUGGAAAUGAGCAAAGAUCCCAAUUUUCAAGAAAGAGAGGAAGGAACUGAACCUCUUGCUAACUUGAUGUUGCCCUGAAAAUACUUUUGGUUUGAGACUGUGAGCCAGUGUGGUUGGACGGCCGUCCUGAGCAGAACUCCUGGCCAUGCGGUGCCCAUCCCACCUUAUGGUUGCUAUCAUUCACCUGACCCCUGCCGGACCGUUCCCGUUCUUUGAGGGCAUUUACGCAACUCCCCUUAACCCCGGAGACCACUCAUUCUUCCGAGCUGCCACUUCCUCGGUUCUUGCCUAUACUAUCUUGUACUGAUAAUAUCUUCCAUUAGUAUAUCACCUGUCUCACUAACUAGAUUGUACUCCCAAGAAGAAGGACUCUCUAAGUCUUCCAUCUCUAUUAAUGGGUAAGAAUUUGAUGAUGAAAACAGCUUUACAGCCCUGGCAAGACCCCAUCUCUACAAAAAAUUAAAGAAUUUAGCUGGGCGUGGUGAUGCAUGCCUGUGGUCCCAGCUACCCAGGAGGCUGAGGCAGGAGAGUUGCGUGAGCCUGGAAGCUUGAGGCUGCAGUGAGCCCUGAUGGCACCACUGCACUCCAUCCUGGGUGACAGAGUGAGACCAUGUCUCAAAAAAUAAUAAUAAUAAAAGCAAGCAGCUCUAGAGUGUGAAGCAGCUGUGGCCAGGCAGUGGGUGGGCAACAUGAACAUGGUCUGCCCUGUAUGUUGAGCUUGCGAAACCCCACUGAAACCCGACAGCUUUUCACAUGAACUGAUGAAUAUGACCUGCAGACAACAGAUAACUCAGUUGUCCCUUUCUUUGUCCUCUAACCAUCUCUCCCUGUCUCUGUCUCUUGCUCUCUGUGUCUCCCCAUUUGAACUGGGCCUUUGAACACAGGGUUGUGCAUUUGCCUCUCUUCUCCUGCCUCUCAUAUUUGUUCUAAACGUUGUCCUCUUGUGUAUUCCUUUUCUUUCUGCUGCCAUCCUGGAGUUAGGCAAACUUCCUUCUACAUAUUUUUCUGUAGAAGGAAUGUACUGAUUAAAGGGGUCAGGGAGGCAGCUGGCAAAGAUAUCAAGAGAAGUGACAUCAACAGCAUCAUACCCCACAAAACAUAACAUCUCAGGAGCAUCCUUCCUACCCCUCCCCUUUCCAAUAGCGAGUUUGGUUAAUAAUGAUUAUUGUUUUCCUUUUGUUUUGUUUUGUGUGAGAUGGAGUCUCGCUCUGUUGCCCAGGCUGGAGUGCAGUGACAUAAUCUUGGCUCACUGCAACCCCCAUCUCCCGGGUUCAAGCGAUUCUCCUGCCUCACCCUCCCACAUAGCUGGGAUUACAGGCACGUGACACCAUGCCUGGCUAAUUUUUGUAUUUUUAGUAGAGAUGGGGUUUUGACAUGUUGCCAGGGCUGGUCUCAAACUCCUGACCUCAAGUGAUCUGCCCACCUCAGCCUCCCAAACUGCUGGGAUUACAGGCUUGAGCCACCUCACCCAGUCAAUAAAAAUUAUUUUUUAAAUCUCCGUUUAAGAAGUCAGAGUGAUAAGAUUAGGGGACCUAUCUCUUCAAAUUUUUACGUAUUUUCCAAAUUCUUUAUAAUGAACUCAUAUUCCUUUUAUAAUCAG